GUAGGGAGAACCUCCUGGGGACACAAGGAAAGCUCCGUGGAGGAAGUCACACUUCAGCAUGGUCUUAAGGAGGCACAGAGAGAUUUCUGUGUCAUCACCGGAGUCUGCGACAGGAUCUGGCAUGGAACAGACCCGGACUCUCCUCAAAAGAUGACAACUCUCAAGGGGACAGAGCAGCCACAGACUGGGAGGAAGCGUCUGCAAAAGACACAUCUGCCGAAAGACCAUGAUCCAAAUUACACAAACAACUCUUAAAACUCAACCGCAGGAAAACUAACAACCCAAUUAAAAAACGGGCCAAAGACCUCAACAGACACCUCACCGAAGAAGACAGACGGAGGGCAGACGAGCACACGAAAAGAUGCUCCACGUCCUACGUCUUCAGAGAACCGCGAAUGCAAGCAACAGGGAGGUACUGGUACACGCCCAUGAGAAUGCCCAAGACUCGAAACCGGGGCAGCACCAAAUGCCGGUGGGGAUGUCAUCGUCGCUGGUGGGAAAGCAAAAUGGCACAGACACCCUGGAAGCCAGUUUGGCAGUUUCUUACUAAACGAAACAUACUCUUAGCAUGUGAUCCAGCAAAAGGGCUCCCGGGUGUUUAGCUGGAGGAGUUGAAAACUUAGGUCCGACAAAAACCUGCACGUGAUGUCGAGAGCAGCUUUAUUCAUCAUUGCCAAAAUGUGGAAGCGACCAAGGUGCCCUCCGGUAGGUGAAUGGAUAAAUAAACGGUGGUCCAUCCAGACAAUGGACUAUUAUUCAUUUCUCAUUUAAGAAAUGAGCUAUUAA